rnacentral:rRNA from 1 species
AGAACGAACGCUGGCGGCAUGCCUAACACAUGCAAGUCGAACGAGACCUUCGGGUCUAGUGGCGCACGGGUGCGUAACGCGUGGGAACCUGCCUUUAGGUUCGGAAUAACUCAGAGAAAUUUGAGCUAAUACCGGAUAAUGUCUUCGGACCAAAGAUUUAUCGCCUUUUAGAUGGGCCCGCGUAGGAUUAGCUUGUUGGUGGGGUAAUGGCCUACAAGGCGACGAUCCUUAGCUGGUCUGAGAGGAUGAUCAGCCACACUGGGACUGAGACACGGCCCCAGACUCCUACGGGAGGCAGCAGUGGGGAAUAUUGGACAAGUGGGCGAAAAGCCCGUGAAUCCCAGCAAGUGCCGCGUGAGUGAGUAGAAGGCCUUAGGGUUGUAAAGCUUCGUUUACCCGGGAUGAUAAUGACAGUACCGGAGAA